rnacentral:rRNA from 1 species
AUUGAACGCUGGCGGCAGGCCUAACACAUGCAAGUCGAACGAGUGGCGGACGGGUGAGUAAUGUCUGGGAAACUGCCCGAUGGAGGGGGAUAACUACUGGAAACGGUAGCUAAUACCGCAUACCAUCGGAUGUGCCCAGAUGGGAUUAGCUUGUAGGUGAGGUAACGGCGCACCUAGGCGACGAUCCCUCGCUGGUCUGAGAGGAUGACCAGCCAAACGGGAACGGAGACACGGUCCAGACGCCUACGGGAGGCAGCAGUGGGGAAGAUGGCACCAGGGGCGGAAGCAUGAUACAGCCAUGCCGCGGGUAUGAAGAAGGACUUCGGGUUGUAAAGUACUUUCAGCGGGGAGGCGUUACCCGCAGAAGAAGCACCGGCUAACUCCGUGCCAGCAGCCGCGGUAAUUC